rnacentral:rRNA from 1 species
GACGAACUGUCCAAACGUUGUUCGGAAUCACUGGGCUUAAAGGGCGCGUAGGCGGUCGAUCAAGUCAGGGGUGAAAUCCUGCAGCUUAACUGUAGAAGUGCCUUUGAUACUGAUCGUCUGGAGGGAGAUAGGGGUGUGUGGAACUUCCAGUGGAGCGGUGAAAUGCGUUGAUAUUGGAAGGAACGCCGGAGGCGAAAGCGACGCACUGGAUCUCUUCUGACGCUGAGGCGCGAAAGCUAGGGGAGCAAACAGG